rnacentral:rRNA from 1 species
UACGUAGGGUGCAAGCGUUAAUCGGAAUUACUGGGCGUAAAGCGUGCGCAGGCGGUUAUGUAAGACAGGUGUGAAAUCCCCGGGCUUAACCUGGGAACUGCAUUUGUGACUGCAUAGCUAGAGUACGGCAGAGGGGGAUGGAAUUCCGCGUGUAGCAGUGAAAUGCGUAGAUAUGCGGAGGAACACUGAUGGCGAAGGCAAUCCCCUGGGCCUGUACUGACGCUCAUGCACGAAAGCGUGGGGAGCAAACAGG